rnacentral:rRNA from 1 species
AGCGGCGGACGGGUGAGUAACACGUGGGUAACCUGCCCAAGAGACUGGGAUAACACCUGGAAACAGAUGCUAAUACCGGAUAACAACACUAGACGCAUGUCUAGAGCUUGAAAGAUGGUUCUGCUAUCACUCUUGGAUGGACCUGCGGUGCAUUAGCUAGUUGGUAAGGUAACGGCUUACCAAGGCAAUGAUGCAUAGCCGAGUUGAGAGACUGAUCGGCCACAUUGGGACUGAGACACGGCCCAAACUCCUACGGGAGGCAGCAGUAGGGAAUCUUCCACAAUGGACGAAAGUCUGAUGGAGCAACGCCGCGUGAGUGAAGAAGGGUUCCGGCUCGUAAAGCUCUGUUGGUAGUGAAGAAAGAUAGAGGUAGUAACUGGCCUUUAUUUGACGGUAAUUACUUAGAAAGUCACGGCUAACUACGUGCCAGCAGCCGCGGUAAUACGUAGGUGGCAAGCGUUGUCCGGAUUUAUUGGGCGUAAAGCGAGUGCAGGCGGUUCAAUAAGUCUGAUGUGAAAGCCUUCGGCUCAACCGGAGAAUUGCAUCAGAAACUGUUGAACUUGAGUGCAGAAGAGGAGAGUGGAACUCCAUGUGUAGCGGUGGUAUGCGUAGAUAUAUGGAAGAACACCAGUGGCGAAGGCGGCUCUCUGGUCUGCAACUGACGCUGAGGCUCGAAAGCAUGGGUAGCGAACAGGAUUAGAUACCCUGGUAGUCCAUGCCGUAAACGAUGAGUGCUAAGUGU